rnacentral:rRNA from 1 species
AGAGUUUGAUCCUGGCUCAGGAUGAACGAUAGCUACAGGCUUAACACAUGCAAGUCGAGGGGCAACAUGGGGUUUGCUUGCAAACUUCGAUGGCGACCGGCGCACGGGUGAGUAACGCGUAUCCAACCUUCCCCUUAGUAGGGCAUAGCCCGGCGAAAGUCGGAUUAAUACCCUAUGUUGUAUGACGAUGACAUCAGAAUUAUACCAAAGAUUAAUCGCUAAGGGAUGGGGAUGCGUCUGAUUAGGUUGUUGGCGGGGUAACGGCCCACCAAGCCUACGAUCAGUAGGGGUUCUGAGAGGAAGGUCCCCCACACUGGUACUGAGACACGGACCAGACUCCUACGGGAGGCAGCAGUGAGGAAUAUUGGUCAAUGGACGAGAGUCUGAACCAGCCAAGUAAGCGUGCAGGAAGACGGCCCUAUGGGUUGUAAACUGCUUUUAUCAGGGGAUAAAGUGGGAAACGUGUUUUCCAUUGCAGGUACCUGAUGAAUAAGGACCGGCUAAUUCCGUGCCAGCCGCCGC